rnacentral:rRNA from 1 species
UGGGGAAUCUUGGACAAUGGGGGCAACCCUGAUCCAGCCAUGCCGCGUGAGUGAUGAAGGCCUUAGGGUCGUAAAGCUCUUUCGCCUGUGAAGAUAAUGACGGUAGCAGGUAAAGAAACCCCGGCUAACUCCGUGCCAGCAGCCGCGGUAAUACGGAGGGGGUUAGCGUUGUUCGGAAUUACUGGGCGUAAAGCGCGCGUAGGCGGACUGAUCAGUCAGGGGUGAAAUCCCGGGGCUCAACCCCGGAACUGCCUUUGAUACUGUCAGUCUUGAGUCCGGAAGAGGCGAGUGGAAUACCGAGUGUAGAGGUGAAAUUCGUAGAUAUUGGGAAGAACACCAGUGGCGAAGGCGGCUAUCUGGACCGAUACUGACGCUGAGGCGCGAAAAGCGUGGGGAGCAAACAGGAUUAGAUACCCUGGUAGUCCACGCCGUAAACGAUGUCUGCUAGUCGUUGGGGGCGUAGCCCUUCAGUGACGCCGCUAACGCAUUAAGCAGACCGCCUGGGAGUACGGUCGCAAGAUUAAAA